AACAAGGUCUCCGUUGGUGAACCAGCGGAGGGAUCAUUACCGAGUACUAUAACUCAUAACCCUUUGUGAACCUUCAUACCUGUUGCUUCGGCGGCGCGCCUCUCGGGGCGUGCCCGCCGGCAUUAUCAGAAUCUCUGUUCGAACCCGACGAUACUUCUGAGUGUUCUAAGCGAACUGUUAAAACUUUCAACAACGGAUCUCUUGGCUCCAGCAUCGAUGAAGAACGCAGCGAAACGCGAUAUGUAAUGUGAAUUGCAGAAUUCAGUGAAUCAUCGAAUCUUUGAACGCACAUGGCGCCUUCCAGUAUCCUGGGAGGCAUGCCUGUCCGAGCGUCGUUUCAACCCUCGAGCCCCCGUGGCCCGGCGUUGGGGACCUGCCCAGGCAGUCCCCGAAAACCAGUGGCGGACCCGACGGGCCCUUCCUUUGCGUAGUAACAUCUGCCUCGCAUCGGGAGCCCCCGGGCUAUCCGGCCUCUAAACCCCCCUCAAGCCCGCUCCGGCGGCACCAAGGUUGACCUCGGAUCAGGUAGGAAUACCCGCUGAACUUAAGCAUA
rnacentral:rRNA from 1 species